GCCACCUUAGUUCAAUGGUUAGAACGCCCGCAAUGCGUGAGUUUCUCACAGCGGGGGAUCUGCGGUUCGAAUCCGGGGAGGGGCA